GUGGAUUGGAUACCCCGGUAGUCCACGCCGUAAACGAUGUUCACUAGGUGUUGGGGGUAUUGACCCCCUCAGUGCCGGAGCUAACGCAUUAAGUGAACCGCCUGGGGAGUACGGUCGCAAGACUAAAACUCAAAGGAAUUGACGGGGGCCCGCACAAGCGGUGGAGUAUGUGGUUUAAUUCGAUGCAACGCGAAGAACCUUACCUGGGUUUGACAUCCCGGGAAUCCCCUGGAAACAGGGGAGUGCCCGUCGGGGAGCCUGGAGACAGGUGCUGCACGGCCGUCGUCAGCU
rnacentral:rRNA from 1 species